GGACUAGACACAUGACUCUAAAAGCGAGAAGGAAAAGAGACUAUGGUGUUUUCCAAACUGACAAGCUUCACACUCAAAAGUACUCACAGACUCAGACUUUAGAGACAAUCAUCAAAGAAUGUUUGGCGAUGGAUGAUCAGCAUGACAAUGCAUCCGAUAGACAUCAGUGAAUGUGUGCUUCAUAGCUGCUGUAGCUAUCACCUUCUUGUCUAGAUAGUAUAGGCCAUUUGAUUUAUGUCC
rnacentral:lncRNA from 1 species